UACGUAGGUGGCAAGCGUUGUCCGGAUUUAUUGGGUUUAAAGGGUGCGUAGGCGGCCUUUUAAGUCAGUGCUGAAAUACUCUAGCUUAACUAGAGGGGUGGCAUUGAUACUGAAAGGCUUGAGUGAAGUCGAAGUAGGCGGAAUUGACGGUGUAGCGGUGAAAUGCUUAGAUAUCGUCAAGAACACCGAUAGUGAAGACAGCUUACUAGACUUCAACUGACGCUGAGGCACGAAAGUGUGGGGAUCAAACAGG
rnacentral:rRNA from 2 species